UCUUGGCUACCAGGGGGCCGUCACCGCGGGGUCUCCUGAGGCACUGGCGGUCCUGUCGGAAUACCCUCCAUCAACGGGAUCAGACCAAGCCUAGUGUGAGAAGAUGAGCAGGCUGGUGCGAGAAACAUUCACAGCCAAGGGCUGGUACUCCGCUGUGAUGCAGGAGGUGGAGCACCUGAAGUUCAACCUCGCUGUGAUUCAGGCCACACUGUAGGCCGCCGAGGGGCAGACAUCCACAGCCCACACGGUGGUUGGGGACACUCAUGCCCGUGCUGCAAGUAAGUUGAGGCCCCGAAAUCUCAUUCCGUCCUCCUCCUACCCUAGCUUUUGGCGAGCGCAUGCCUUCUCAAUUUUAGGCCUGGAGAAGGAGUUGGCUGUGUCCCAUGGUGAGACGGAGAUGCUACGUCAGCACCUCAAUGACUUGGAGGAUUGCCAUGAUGUCCUGCCCUGGGCCGCGCUCGACGAGGUGGGGACUCUGGGCACUAGGGGAAUGCUGCUGCCCGACCGUCUUCAGGGCCCCCACGCGUAGGUAUAGCGUGCGGUGGAGCUCGGCAUCCCUCGGGGUGCCAUGCUAGCAUUGGUUGCCACUCAGCUCCAUUCUAGCCGCGACCUACGCCUGCCGGAACCCACACUUCUGGAGCGGGAGCAGCCAGCUGAUGACUUCGCCGGGGAUGCGGGCCUCAUUGCUGCCGAAUUUAGCAUCACUAACUGGCAGAGGUAGACCUAGACUACUCUGCUCAGACUACCCAGCGAGCAGGCACUCGGCUGGACGACGGAAGGGUCCUCAGCGGAUCAGGAUGAAGGUUUAACAUAGAUGCCCGGAUAUCUAGGGAUUUUAGCCAACCUGCGUCCUUGUAAACUACCAGAGUAGAUCUUUUCUUACUUGUAACCCACAGCUCCUAGGCUAUAUAAAGGGGUCGUGGGGGGAUCCAUAGGCAAGAUAUCUCUCAAACCCUAAUACAUCAACCAACAGGAUGCAAUAUUUGAUGCUCGGAGCUGUACUAUAUCUCAACUAUGCUUUGUUUGAAGGAAAUAUUGAUUACUCCAAAUCUUAAUGAAUUUUAUCUCAUUUAUUUGGCAGUCAUACGUGGGGACCAGAGGUCCUCAUGCAGUAAACACUGCUUGGGCAAUGUUAGCUUUAAUUUACGGUGGUCAGGUGGAACGAGAUCCAACACCUCUAUAUCAAGCUGCAAAAGAAUUGAUCAACAUGCAACUAGAGUCAGGCGACUUUCCCCAACAAGAACAUGUUGGGAGCUUCAACAGCUCCCUAUACUUCAAUUACGGCAACUACCGCAACCUGUUCCCGAUCUGGGCUCUUGGGGAGUUCCGCCGUCGGCUUCUUGCAAAAAAAGAACUUAGACCAACGUACUUGAUGUCUUGAUGAUUCGCAAUUAAGGGUAACGGAAUCUGCAAAACAACACUUGACGGAAUCUGCAAAACAACACUUGAAGCAAUGUAUAGAGGUUGGCAUUUAUGCUGAAGACAAGCUACUAUGAAACAAAAUCAGAUCCUUAGUAAAUGAAGUCUAGGAUCUGCAUACUUAACAAAAGAAUAACAAAACGUUUGGAAUUACAGUUAAAUAUAUGUUAGUGUGCUCUGUAUGGUUAUUUUAUGAUAGCAAAAAAUUGAUGUACGUCCUGCGGCAUGUGUCCUUCUGUAUCCCCAAAUAAAGCUGCGCCCUCUCAUUUUUAUGAUUUCUAA